rnacentral:rRNA from 1 species
UUUAAAAGCACUUUGAAAAGAGGGUGAAAAGAACCUGAAACCGUUACGUGGAGAGCGUAUUGCAGCAGAGUGAAGGGUGCGUUCUGGUCACCCCGGUUUUUUUCUGGGCGUAUUCAGAACGUUACUCGCCAGUCGUGAGCUUCUGGUGGCCGAUGUUGGGCUGCUGGGGGUGGAGGGCUCCCUUUCGAGGUGAGGACGAGCUGGAUAAUACUGCGAUUCGACCCGUCUUGAAACACGGACCAAGGAGUCUAGCGUAUCUGCGAGUCAAAGGGUGGUGAAACCUGAGGGCGCAGUGAAAGCGACUGUAAAACGUUUGCAGUUUGAGGCGGCAUACGAUCGUUGAUUGUAGGUCCGUCCUAGAGCAAAUAUGCUAGGACCCGAAAGAUGGUGAACUAUGCCUGAGUAGGGUGAAGCCAGGAGAAAUUCUGGUGGAAGCUCGUAGCGGUGCUGACGUGCAAAUCGCUCGUCUAACUUGGGUAUAGGGGCGAAAGACUAAUCGAACUAUCUGGUAGCUGGUUUCCUCCGAAGUUUCUCUCAGGAUAGCGGACCGAUAUGGUGUUGUUGUGUGC